ACAGUAGUGGUUCAGUGGUAGAAUUAUCACCUCCCAUGUGAGAGACACAGGUUUGAUUCCUGGCCAGUGGU
rnacentral:tRNA from 1 species